rnacentral:lncRNA from 1 species
CGCAUGCUCGGAUCCUGCUCGCCGGCGCAUCGGCCCCUCUCACCCGGGAUGCACAGGCGCGAGUGGUGGGUGUGGGAGACCCGCAGGACCCCGGGCGGGGCAAUGUGGCAAUGGAAGGCCCUGGUAGUAGGGGGUUCGAAAGUCACCCUCUAUCCCUGUGAAGCUCCGGCUGGCACCGGCUCCCGAGUGAUAGCUCAGCCUCUGGAUCCCGCCUGUCCUUGGCGGCGGCUGCGGUCUCACAGUCGAGCGAGCGCAGCACUGUUAAAUAUUAAAGAAUGGGGCUCGAGAGAUGGCUCAGCGGUUAAGAGCACUGGCAGCUCUUCUGAGAGGACCCGGGUUCAAUUUCCAGCACCCACAUGGCAGCUCACAACUGUCUGUAACUCCAGUUCCAGGGGAUCUGACAUCUUUACAUUUAUGCACACAAAAUACAGUUGAAUAAACUAUAAAAUGUUGAAGGAUAGGGGCGGGGAACACACUAGUGUUAAACAUCCUACAAGAUUGAUUAAAACUUC